UUGUCCGGAAUUACUGGGUGUGAAGGGAGCGUAGGCGGGACGGUAAGUCAGGUGUGAAAUAUACGUGCUCAACAUGUAGACUGCACUUGAAACUGCUGUUCUUGAGUGAAGUAGAGGUGAGCGGAAUUCCUAGUGUAGCGGUGAAAUGCGUAGAUAUUAGGAGGAACAUCGGUGGCGAAGGCGGCUUACUGGGCUUUUACUGACGCUGAGGCUCGAAAGCGUGGGGAGCAAACAGGAUUAGAUACCCUGGUAGUCCACGCUGUAAACGAUGAUUACUAGGUGUGGGGGGACUGACCCCUUCCGUGCCGCAGUUAACACAAUAAGUAAUCCACCUGGGGAGUACGACCGCAAGGUUGAAACUCAA
rnacentral:rRNA from 1 species